rnacentral:rRNA from 1 species
UACGAAGGGUGCAAGCGUUACUCGGAAUUACUGGGCGUAAAGGGCGCGUAGGCGGCCCGCUAAGUCGAACGUGAAAUCCCCAGGCUCAACCUGGGAACUGCGUCCGAUACUGGCAGGCUUGAAUCCGGGAGAGGGAUGUGGAAUUCCAGGUGUAGCGGUGAAAUGCGUAGAUAUCUGGAGGAACACCGGUGGCGAAGGCGGCAUCCUGGACCGGUAUUGACGCUGAGGCGCGAAAGCUAGGGGAGCAAACGGG